GACCAUCUUGUAGCGCCAAAGGAACGAGGGGCUUGUACGGUGGUUUAUCAUUAUUGUGGGUAAUUUUGUUUUGAUUUGGGAAAGAAAAUGAGCUUUGAGAGGAGCAUUUGAUUGAGGACUUGUGUCUCUGAGUCACUAGUGGUGAUGCAAAUUUUCUAGAGCAACCUGAAAUUGAAGUUAAAAUAAAAACAGAUAUGUUAAAAAAGAAAAUGAUAUAUAUAUAUAUAUAUAGGGGAAACAAGUAGCAAGAGAUCACUUACCAGGACUUUGCAAAGGAUUGAAUUUUGGAGCGAGGUUUAAGCACUGCAUUUGAAGCAUGAUUGAUAUUUGCUCUGUUUCUUCUUCCUCUU
rnacentral:lncRNA from 1 species